ACGGGAGUGGCAAGCGUUAUCCGGAAUUAUUGGGCGUAAAGCGUCCGCAGGCGGUCUUACAAGUCUGUCGUUAAAGCGUGGAGCUUAACUCCAUUUCAGCGAUGGAAACUGUAAGACUAGAGUGUGGUAGGGGCAGAGGGAAUUCCCGGUGUAGCGGUGAAAUGCGUAGAUAUCGGGAAGAACACCAGUGGCGAAGGCGCUCUGCUGGGCCAUAACUGACGCUCAUGGACGAAAGCCAGGGGAGCGAAAGGGAUUAGAUACCCCUGUAGUCCUGGCCGUAAACGAUGAACACUAGGUGUCGGGGGAAUCGACCCCCUCGGUGUCGUAGCCAACGCGUUAAGUGUUCCGCCUGGGGAGUACGCACGCAAGUGUG
rnacentral:rRNA from 1 species